rnacentral:rRNA from 1 species
UACGUAGGGGGCAAGCGUUGUCCGGAAUCAUUGGGCGUAAAGAGCGUGUAGGCGGUCCGGUCAGUCGGUUGUGAAAGUCAAGGGCUCAACCCUUGAAUGCCGGCCGAUACUGCCGGGCUAGAGUCCGGAAGAGGCGAGUGGAAUUCCCGGUGUAGCGGUGAAAUGCGCAGAUAUCGGGAGGAACACCAAUUGCGAAGGCAGCUCGCUGGGACGUGACUGACGCUGAGACGCGAAAGCGUGGGGAGCAAACAGG